rnacentral:rRNA from 1 species
GACGUAGGGCGCGAGCGUUGUCCGGAUUUAUUGGGCGUAAAGAGCUCGUAGGCGGUCUGUUGCGUCAGGAGUGAAAACUCGGGGCUUAACCCCGAGCCUGCUUCUGAUACGGGCAGACUAGAGGUAUGCAGGGGAGAACGGAAUUCCUGGUGUAGCGGUGAAAUGCGCAGAUAUCAGGAGGAACACCGGUGGCGAAGGCGGUUCUCUGGGCAUUACCUGACGCUGAGGAGCGAAAGCAUGGGUAGCGAACAGG